UUAAAUACUUUUAACAUUUAAUCAAUCUUACACACUAUAAAGUAUCAAAUCAUGUUCUCUUUGUUACAUGCAAGAAGAAAAAUGGCUAAAACUCUCAAGUUUGUUUGUGUUAUGAUUUUAUUUCUUUCCAUAUUCUUUCUUUCAAAGGAGGCUAGUGCACAACGUCAAUGUGACACUCUUAAAGAUUGUCCAGAGAUUUCCCACAAGCAUGAUUUCAUGUUUAAGUGCAUUAACAAUGAAUGUGUGCCUAUUUUGAAUUGGAGCUUUUAUGAAUACAACACCUAAGGGAGUACACAAAAGUCUUUAAGAUGGAAAUGGUUUCUUAAACCAGCAAAGAACCUAAGAAAUAUACUUUUUGCUAGAACGUUACAUAUGUUUUCCUUUAAGUUUUAUGUUGAUCAAUAAUUGUAUUUUUAUUUAUUUAAUUUUAUAAUUUCAUGUAACUUAAAAUUAUAGCUUUGUAUUCUAAAAUUUUUGUAAUGAAAUAAAAUAUGGAACUAAACAUUAUUGUA